rnacentral:rRNA from 1 species
GGAUCCAGACUUUGAUCAUGGCUCAGGAUGAACGCUGGCGGCGCAUUUAAGACAUGCAAGUCGAACGAAAAUUUACGCUUAAAGAGUUGAUUAGUUUACUAAGAGAUGAUUUAUUGUAAAUUUUAGUGGCGGACUGGUGAGUAAUACAUAGGUAAUCUGCCUUUUAGAGGGGAAUAACUAGGAGAAAUCCUAGCUAAUACCGCGUAAGACCACACUUAGGCAUCUAAGAGAGGUCAAAGGAGUAAUCCGCUAAAAGAUGAGCCUGUGGCUGAUUAGUUAGUUGGUGGGGUAAGAGCCUACCAAGACGAUGAUCAGUAGCCGAGCUGAGAGGCUGGCCGGCCACAUUGGGACUGAGAUACGGCCCAGACUCCUACGGGAGGCAGCAGUUGGGAAUAUUGGACAAUGGAGGAAACUCUGAUCCAGUGACGCCGCGUGAAGGAAGAAGGUCUUCGGAUUGUAAACUUAUUUUAUCAGGGAAGAAGAAAGUGACAGUACCUGAAGAAAAAGGACCGGCAAACUACGUGCCAGCAGCCGCGGUAAUACGUAGGGUCCAAGCGUUAUCCGGAUUUACUGGGUGUAAAGGGCGAGUAGACGGCGCUGUAAGUCAGCUGUGAAAACUUAGGGCUCAACCUUAAGCCUGCAGCUGAAACUGUAGUGCUAGAGUGCAGGAGAGGUAAGCGGAAUUCCUAGUGUAGCGGUGAAAUGCGUAGAUAUUAGGAGGAACACCAGUGGCGAAGGCGGCUUACUGGACUGUAACUGACGUUGAGGCGCGAAAGUGUGGGGAGCAAACAGGAUUAGAUACCCUGGUAGUCCACACCGUAAACGAUGGAUACUAGGUGUAGGCGAGAUAUCGUCUGUGCCGGCGCAAACGCAAUAAGUAUCCCACCUGGGGAGUACGGCCGCAAGGUUGCAACUCAAAGGAAUUGACGG